ACCUUAUCAAGAGUGGUGGAGGGACUGGCCCGAUGAAACCCGGCAACCGGCUGGUAAACCAGCGUCCUGGUGCCAAUUCCUGUAGAUAAGGC
rnacentral:ncRNA from 2 species